CGCGCGCUAAAAGGCUCCAGCCGGAGUCCAACUCGUCCAGAGAACCCGUGGCGCCUGAGAGAGGGAGGCCGCCUUUGCCGCCGCCACGCCGAUUUGCGAUGCGCCCCUCGCUCCGCAAAGUUGGCUUCGGGUCGCAUCGUCGCGGCUCUCUUUGAACGCUGCCGCCGCCUCUUUGGACGUCCGUGUCGGAACUGAUCUUGCCACUCGCUCUGCACCCUCCUCAUCCCGGAGCAAGCCGCGUUCAUUUCGCGCUCUCUUCGUCGGAGAGUCGCGAACAUUGAAGUGUGGGGCCUCCGUUAGGGGCACUUCUUGUGGUAAUACUUCAGGAGUUGCGCUUGCUUGUUUGCUUGCAAAGAACCCAGCGAAAGCAGCCCAGGAAUUAACGCUGCUUCGAGGCGUGCCGCUCGCUUUCUGCGCACAAUUGUGUGAUUUGUUGGAAUAAGUGUCGAGUGGUGCGGCGCGACGAUGCCGAUUGGUCAUUCCUGGAACCUCGACGAGAAGAACAACCUCUAGGAUUAUUGUCACGAUAACCCUGUGCGGUUUCUGUGCUGCUGAUUGUACACCCUGUCACCAGAAUACCGAUAUCAUCUCAGAACAGAACUCUCCAGUGACCGAUAAUACUGUGUGUGAUCGCGUGUCUUCCAGUGGCAUGGGGACGGGUUGAGGGCAGAAAAAGUGUACCAUCGUAAUCGACAUUUUAGGAACGGGAUAAUGACUGGCCGGAAAGAACUUGCAGGACUGCUGCCGUCAGUGUCGUCGACGCUCAUCGCGUCGUCACUUACAGAACACGUCGGGCUUUAGUGUUACAACUUCUUCGCUCAGUCGCUGCCAGCGUGCGGUGAGUCUUGCGACCGCACCUCAUCGGCAGGAUAUGUCGACGUCUUUUCUGUGCUCGUGGACAGUGCUGGCGGCGGGAGCGGCGAUGCGACUUCUGUUUCACGUUCACAUCUCGGCCGCGUCCAGUGAAGGCAUCAUAGGACGCGAGCACAACGUGACCGGCUUCGUGGGCGGCUCGGCCGUGCUACCGUGCGAAGUGGACGAGGCGAGCUGUGGCCGAGUGUACUUCAUCACCUGGACCAAAAACGUGUCUCAGGACUGGCAGCGAGUGUACCUGUUCUCGGAGACGGUGAACCGCGUGAUGGGCCCGCUGAGUGAGCCGCACCGCGCCACGUUUCAGCCGGGCAACGCGUCCGCCCACCUGCGCAUCCAGCCACUCACCGUCGAGGACGAAGGCACGUACAAGUGUGACGUCACCUACGUCCAAGGAAAGUGCCCGUCCUUGUCCUUCACCAGGCUACAAACGCUCGUCACGCCCAAGGAGCCUGUGAUCAAGAUGGACGGCCGCCGCCUGACCAAUGGCUCUCUGCUAGGUCCCUACUUGGAGGGCACCACAGUGGUGCUCGACUGCUUCUCAUCGGGAGGUCGACCAGCACCGCAAGUGCUCUGGCGCAACGCAUCGGCCCAGCUGCCCGUCAAGACGUCCGUAACGCCCCAUUUACGUGGAAUCCACGAUGUCACGUCAACGGCUCGCUUCGUGCUUUCGCGCUGGGACCUAGGAGCCCGGUUAGAGUGCGUCGUGAUCACCAAGGCCACGCCCGCCCCCGUCGUCAAGUGGGUCCAGCUGGACGUGCACGUACGGCCCCUUGCCCUACGGCUACGUGGUCCCAACCACCCGGUCGUGGCUGGCGAGAUGGUGUCGCUCACGUGCAUCGUGGAGGGUGCCAGGCCGGCAGCAAACAUCACGUGGUACAACCGGUCUGAACUGGUGCGCCCACAGCCGCCGGCCGCCGAGGACCUCAUGAGCGACGGAACAUACCGCACCGCAAGCACACUGGUGUUUGUGGCCAGCCUUUACGACCACCAGGCCGAGUUCUUCUGCAAAGGAACCAACCAGGUCCUUAAGAACAGAACGGAAGCACCACUUCUUCAGGCCGUCCGACUAGAAGUUCUCUAUCCGCCCGCUGUCCGCGUGUUGCCGGCAGAGGGCGUGAAUGUGACCGAGUGGCACUCGUGCAAUCUUACUUGCCACUACGACGCGAAUCCUCCCAACGCGACCGAGGUGGCGUGGUACAAGAACGGAGAGCUGCUACCGCCCAGGACCAGAGGACACCGGCUGCUGCCGAAGACCGUACUAUUAAUCCGGAACGCCACCCGUAAGGACGCCGGUGUGUACAGUUGCCACGUGAAGAAUGCUUUCGGACGAGGAAACGCCUCAAACUCCGUAUACCUGGACGUUUUCUAUACCCCGUUGGUGAGUGUCUGGGUGAAUCCCUCUGUGGUGGCGCUUGGUGAGGGCCCCGUGCUGCUCCGCUGCGAGGCGGAGUCCGGUAACCCGCAACAGCUGCGUCGAGUACGCUGGUACCGCGACGGGAAACUGGUCAAUGAGACCAAAGAGCCUGACCUGCUGCUCGAGGAACUGAGGCGAUCUGCCACAGGGAAUUACAGUUGCGAGGCAAAGAACGACGCCGGAUGGAGCCCCAUGUCUUCACACAAGUCGCUCGUCGUCAUGUAUCCCCCGGGCCCUGCGAUCUUGGUUCCUGAAAGCGGUGCUGUGCCCCCGCUGAAAGGGCAGCGAGUGACGAUGCGUUGCCACGUCAACGACACAGGAUUGCCGCCCAGCGUGGCGUUUCGCUGGGAACACGGGGGCGUGCCGUUGAACGUGACCGGAGCGACGCUGGUCACCGAACCCGUGACCACAGCCACGCAGGGAAACUACUCGUGCGCCGCGGUCAACCAGGUCGGCAUAGGCGCGCUGGCGUUCUGGAUACUCGACGCCCAAGCUCCCCCGUCGUUCCUACGUUCUCUGCCGGCUACGGGUGGCAGCCUCCGCAACGCGACCGCCGUAUCGCUCGAAUGCGUGGUCGAGUGCGACCCGGUGUGCGAGGUGCGGUGGCUCCGCAACAACGAGACCCUCGACGAGUCGCCCUUCUUCCACGCCAGCCAGGCCGUGAGGCCCGAAGGGGGCGGACACUUUCACUCGGUCGCCUCAAUCCUCUCGUGGAACAUGAGCCAGCUACCGCCCUCCUCGUUCGACUACAACACCUUCACCUGCCAGAGCAGCGAGAACGCCGUCGGGCCCGGAGUCUCUAGCACCAUGCUCUUCCGCGUAGAAUACCCCCCGGAGAAGCUGCAGGUGUCCGUGGUGCAACUUGACCUCUCGGAAGGGGAAGUACCGCCGCGCGAGGUGAGCUGCUCGGCGUCGGCGCACCCAACCGCCGAGUACCAGUGGCGGCUGGGCGCGCUCACCGUCUCGCGCGGCCCCACCCUGCUGUUCAACGCAACCGCUUCGAGGGAGAUGGCUGGAAACUACACCUGCGUGGUCAGCAACCGCCACGGACGAGCCAUGGCCGCCACACUCGUCACCGUCAGGCACCGCCCGCAGUGUGCCGUGGUGAAGGAGCACGAUUCAUCAGGCAACGUGGUGCUUCGCUGCGAGGCACAAGCCGUGCCGCCCGUGGUCGCGUAUAUCUGGCUGCGGAACAAUCGCACCGUGCAGGAGCACCGGGGUCCACGCAGCACCUUAGUGGUGCCCGACCGGACUUCGUUCGGCGCCUACUCCUGCGUGGCCAGCAACGCGGUCGGUCACUCCGAGCCCUGCCAGCUAAAGCUCACCAAGCUGCCCAGUCCGGCUGGCUGGGCCCAGCUUCUGCUGAAAGAAGAGAACCUCAUCAUCAUGGCGGGCAUCGCCGGUGGCGUCGUGAUCAUCAUCGUUCUACUCAUCGUUAUUAUUAGCAUCGUUGUUAUCCGAAAGCGCAUUCAGUCGAACACAAAACCACGUCUUGAAGAACGUGAAAAUGCUAUCGGGGAGAUUGGCCACGGCAGCCCCCAAGGAAAGCUCUCUUUGUUGGCUGACAUGAAACGCGGCGGUAGUCCACUUUUCGAAGAAGACUACGACAGCGAAGAUGGGCACCGGUCAGCGACGCGGCUUGUGCGGCGUGGAACGCUGGAGCUCGGCUGAAGCCCGCGCACCACCAAGAGAUCCACGCGCAGACCAUCCAUCACACGACGAUAAAUGGACUUUAGCAGAGUGGUGACUUGGGUCUGCUGCCCAUGACCGGGGUGCAUCAACGGGCACCCCUCUUCUGAAGCGACUUUCAGAAUCUGCGGUCACAAGCGUUAAGGACAUCGUUGGAGACAAGGGAGGUGCUGCAGAGAGUGCUAGAUAAACUGCUUCAGCGAAAUCACUUUGCAACGAACCUUACUCGUCUCGGGAAAAGAAGUUGAACAACUCACUGCUCAUCAGUCGGAACUACUCGAUGCUUUUCCGCGACGUGGAAUUCCUUCGCAUCUCUCUCGGCUGUAACGAAACCUGUUGUGACGAGGAACGCGUAGACGCUGGCUUCCCCAUAAAAAGAAAGCAAGUAAGAAAGGUUACUCGAGUGACUUUUGGGGUAAGCUUUGAAAGUGAACGUCGAGAUGGCAUCCCCUGGUGGCGGGACAUAUCUUGUCAAAUCCAGUGGGAAGUCGUCCAGUGAAAGACAGCGAAGGGUGUGAAGACAGCUAACCAUUGUGACUGGAACCGUCCCAAAGUGAUUCUCUUCUAGUGAAAUCAACAAUGACGUCGCGGUCUUGAUUGUGUGAGCGUGUCGUAGCCACGGCCAUCAAGACACGAGAAAAACAAACACUCAAGACAGCAGCGCAAGCAUCAUCGGUGUUAUUGACGUUUUUGUUAAGUGUUUUCUUCUCUUUAGGUUGCAUUGCGUAUGCGUGUGCCAGUGUAUACUGUUGUCGAUGGCAGGGACCUUGUCCGCUUGUAUUUGUGAAGGUUAUGUCGCUCUAGAAAAGCGAGUGCGUCAGUUGCGUUUUUACUCACUGCUUAGGCGUUUGCGUGCGAUCUCCUUGGUGGUAUGACCCGGUGGUGUCCAGUCUAUUUCACAAAGCAGCCGCCCAGGAACGCGGCUUUUGUGGGCUCGCGCUCUGGUAAGCACACCAGAAGCUUGAAGGAAAAUAACGCGUUUGAGAAACGUGAGCGAUGUGUGCUCGCCAGAUGUGCAGUAUCAAAACCUGUGCAUAUACGUACAACUGCGUCUCAAAAGCUCUCCGUCAUCGAAAAUGCGAAGCGGAAAUAUCUUCUUCGCUGGCCUUUGAUUUGAGCGACGAUGAAUCGGAGUGUCAUCGGUGUAAUUUAUUGCUACUCUGAUGUAACCGUCGCUGAUAAGCGUAACUCCAACUGUGCUCAAUGUUCUCAAAAGUACUCAAACGUGAACCCAAUUUUCGAUGUCAAAUUUAACAGCAGGCCGUCCGCAGCCCUCUUCGGGAAAUGACGUUCUUUGUCGAUUCGUGCAACGAAGGAAGCUGAAAGUGCGGCACUAAGUCCUAAGAUGAGACUUCGACUUUCCUGACAUACAUAGAUGCAAAUAUGGUUCCAGCGUAGGGACGGCCAAAAGUACGUCAAAUGUACGCCUUCGUGUUCUCCUCGCCCCAAAUUCGCAAUUUCGAUGGACGCUGAGCUCAAUGUAAAUACUGCUACUUUCGCUUUGAAACCGAAAUACGUCAAAAAGAGGUGCUGGGAUUGUGCACAUCCCGGUAGAUGUUACUGUACAGAGGGCGUUUUGGCAAACAAAAGUGAACUCGUCCACAAGUCGCUUUGCUUUAUUUUUCAGUGUUUGCAUAUUUCAAUUGUGCGAGUGUUUGUAAAGUUAAUCUGAUGUUCUCGAUGUGUGGUACGAAAAGGUUAUGUUUCUUUCGUGCGAGGAGCGAGCUGGAAGAAUAGGUUAUUCCAUGUUAAUUUAAGGACGCCGAACAUGAAGGGUCAUUUGGUUGCGGGAAAAUGGGAAA